UUAUGAAAUGUCAGAAUUCUACGGAAUGAAAAAUCAAAGUUUAAUUCAUGGAUUAGUUUAAGUUGUAUUCGAUAUCUUUAAUCAAUAUAUUUUAUAUUGUAGGUGUCUUUGAAAUGGUUCUUUAAUUUGAAAAAAUACAUUAACUAACAUAUGUGAAAGCAGUCACUUAUGAACUUAAUUAGAUGUUUUAAAUAUAUUAUUGUAAUUAUAUUAGAAGGUAAUGAUAUAAUAUUGAUAUAAAUUUAUUAAAUCAAGUGGAUGUUUGCUUCAUGAACUUUGGAAAUAUAAAAUCCAGUAAACAAUACUAAGUAAUGAAAAAGAGAAUAUACAGUCAAAAUCGUUUACGACUACUAAAUGAUGUAGUGUAGAUGUAGAUGAACAAAAUUCCAGUUAUAUUGACCAAAAUCAAAGGUCCUGGCUGAAUUCUAUUUGACUGCCUUAUAAAAAACACUGCUUUUUAUGACAUCGCUUCUUACAACAUAUCUCUUUAAGCAACUACAUUAAACUGAUAUUUUCGGAGAAUUAUAUCUGUUAGAACAACCAGCCAUUGUAAACAUUUGAAUGGGUGAGGGCAGUAUCCCCUUUCCACAUCUGGCACACUAAAGUGAUUAAGAUCGCCAAAGUAAACAAAAAUAUCUCCAGUUUAGGGUCUAUUGUAUUUCUCAGAAACAAUAUAGGUACACAUGUAUGCAGUAUAAUCGAAGCGCAAAGCCCACUUUUUCAUUUCCCCUUAAUCAGUUUGUUACUUAUCUGAACACUAGAAGCACAAUACGUAUUGUUGAAUUAAUGUGAAACUUAACAUGUCGCAAGGAAAAAGAAAACAAAUUACUAUAGAAGAAAAAUCAUGUAUUAUUUCAAAGCUUGAGAGUGGAAUUUCAAACAAAGACUUAGCCGCGGAAUAUGGUGUAUCACACUCAACAAUUUCAACCAUUUGGAAAGAGAGAGAAAAAAUUCAAACACUUUUUGAGAACAAUUUAUUAAAAAUGAAAAGAGCAAGAACGACGAAGCAUACGAAAAUUGACGAAGCUUUGCUAAAGUGGUUUAAAUAUCAGAGGACAAAUAAUUUGCCAAUAAAUGGACCAAUUCUUCAACAAAAAGCAAACGAUUUUGCUCAGCAUUUUGGUGAAGAUUUCGUUUGCUCGUCCAGUUGGAUUCAACGUUUCCGGGCUAGGCACGGUAUCGUCGGCGGGAAAAUGAGUGGUGAAGCAGCCAGUGCCACACCUGAUUUAUCUACUACUGAAGCAGAGGAGCUUAUUGAUGUGGGUGCAAUGUGUGUACCAGCUAUGGAAGAAGAUAUUGUACAAGAAGUUCAAGUGAAUAGUGACGAACAGGACGAGACUGAAGAACAAUUUACAGUGCCAACUUUGUAUGAUGGUCUCAAUGCUGUCAAUGUAUUAAGAAAAAUUUUUCUUUUUAAAAAACACUUUCACUUGCAGGGAAAUUAUGACAAUACUUUAAUUAAAAUUCAGCGUGAAUUACAAACUGCGUACGUACUACAGAAGUGUUUCAAAUAAACUAAAAUAACAGAUUUUGUUAAGGUAGAAAAUGAUAAUUAUAUGUAGUAUGUUUUUGGAAUACUUGGCGUCGACAUAUCAAACGACGUUCAGUUUCGCGGUCACUUGCUUAGCAAGGAGAGACGGUACUUCACUCCGGGCCACCGCUUGCAACUAUAGAAAGCGCAAAUUCUGCCCCACAUGGAUUACUGUUCACACCUCUGGGCGGGGGUCCCCAGUACCAGCUCCUUCCACUUGACCGUAUUCAACGAAGAGCGGUUCGAAUUGUCGACGACCAAUCCCUCUCCGAGCGGCUUGAUCCUUUGGCGUUGCGUAUAAAUGUGGGGUCACUUUGCAUGUUCUAACGCAUUUACCAUGGAGAGUGUUCAGAGGAGUUGUUCGGAUUAAUACCUGCAGCUGAGUUUCAUCAUCGGAUGUCAUCGAAUGAGUGUUUAUCAAGGCAGUUUUUGCCGCGCACCACCACUUUGUGGAACCAGCUGCCCACUGAAGUAUUUCCGAACCAAUUCGACUUUGGGUCCUUCAAGAAAAGAGCGUAC